AAACUUGCGCCGUCUUUGGGGAGUAGCAUUCCUUCGCGAGCGAAGGAGAACGCGUCAACGUCCUCGGCUCUGCUGCCGUGGUGCGUUCGACCGGAACGGUUUGGCGAGACCAUCGAUGCGCUUCGUCGUUCCUGGUCGGACGGCGCGUGGCGCAUCGUGGUUCGCUCGACGUCCGGCC
rfam:Candidatus Burkholderia kirkii strain TZHbot2 BPTNctg131, whole genome shotgun sequence.